rnacentral:rRNA from 1 species
UACGGAAGGGGCUAGCGUUGUUCGGAAUCACUGGGCUUAAAGGGCGCGUAGGCGGGUCAGCAAGUCCGGGGUGAAAUCUUUCAGCUCAACUGGAAAAGUGCCUUGGAUACUGCUGGUCUUGAGGGAGGUAGGGGCGUGCGGAACUUCUGGUGGAGCGGUGAAAUGCGUUGAUAUCAGAAGGAACGCCGGUGGCGAAAGCGGCGCGCUGGACCUCUUCUGACGCUGAGGCGCGAAAGCUAGGGGAGCAAACGGG